AGCAAAUAUUUCAAGACCGAAAUUUCUUUGAUGCAUAUUUGCAAUAUGUUGAUCUAAGGAAUAUUACCGAGGAAGAGGCAAAAUGGUUGGAGACGCCAUUCACUAAUGAUGAAAUUAAGAUUGCUAUUUGGAGCUGCGGGUCAUAGAAAUCACUUGGGCCGGAACAGUUUCAGCUUCUUCUUCUACAAAAGGCAUGUAACCCUUAAAGGGUGACAUAUGUAAUAUGAUUCACACCUUUUCAGCAUGGGAAAGCUUCCUCGCCAUGUGAAAUCUUCUUUAAUUGUGCUAGUACCUAAGGUUUGCUCUCCCACCAUGAUGUUUGAUUAUCAGCCUAUCAGUUUGAUUCACGAUCACUGUAAAAUUGUUAUGAAGAUGU
rnacentral:misc_RNA from 1 species